rnacentral:rRNA from 1 species
AGAGUUUGAUCAUGGCUCAGGAUGAACGCUAGCGACAGGCUUAACACAUGCAAGUCGAGGGGCAGCAUGGGCAUAGCAAUAUGCCUGAUGGCGACCGGCGCACUGGUGAGUAACACGUAUGCAACCUGCCCCGUACAGGGGGAUAAUCCAGAGAAAUUUGGUCUAAUACCCCGUAGUCCCCGAGAGGGCAUCCUCCCGGGGGGAAAGCUCCGGCGGUACGGGAUGGGCAUGCGGCGCAUUAGCUUGUUGGCGGGGCGACGGCCCACCAAGGCGACGAUGCGUAGGGGUUCUGAGAGGAAGGUCCCCCACACUGGUACUGAGACACGGACCAGACUCCUACGGGAGGCAGCAGUGAGGAAUAUUGGUCAAUGGGCGCUGGCCUGAACCAGCCAAGUCGCGUGCGGGAAGACGGCCCUACGGGUUGUAAACCGCUUUAGCCGGGGAGUAACGUGCGGCACGUGUGCCGCAGUGAGAGUACCCGGAGAAUAAGCAUCGGCUAACUCCGUGCCAGCAGCCGCGGUAAUACGGAGGAUGCGAGCGUUAUCCGGAUUCAUUGGGUUUAAAGGGUGCGCAGGCGGCGCUCCAAGUCAGCGGUCAAAUCUCCGGGCUCAACCCGGAUCCGCCGUUGAAACUGGAGUGCUUGAGCAGGUGCGACGGAGGCGGAAUGCGUGGUGUAGCGGUGAAAUGCAUAGAUAUCACGCAGAACCCCGAUUGCGAAGGCAGCUUCCGAGCACCCGUCUGACGCUGAGGCACGAAAGCGUGGGUAUCGAACAGGAUUAGAUACCCUGGUAGUCCACGCGGUAAACGAUGAAUACUGGUUAUCCGGCGCGUUUUUGUGCUGGGUGACUCAAGCGAAAGCAUUAAGUAUUCCACCUGGGGAGUACGCCGGCAACGGUGAAACUCAAAGGAAUUGACGGGGGCCCGCACAAGCGGAGGAACAUGUGGUUUAAUUCGAUGAUACGCGAGGAACCUUACCCGGGCUCAAACGC